rnacentral:miRNA from 1 species
AGGUCUGACAGUCUAUCUUCC